AGCGAACGCUGGCGGCAGGCCUAACACAUGCAAGUCGAACGAACCUUUCGGGGUUAGUGGCGGACGGGUGAGUAACACGUGGGAACGUGCCUUUAGGUUCGGAAUAACUCAGGGAAACUUGUGCUAAUACCGAAUGUGCCCUUCGGGGGAAAGAUUUAUCGCCUUUAGAGCGGCCCGCGUCUGAUUAGCUAGUUGGUUGGGGUAAUGGCUCACCAAGGCGACGAUCAGUAGCUGGUCUGAGAGGAUGAUCAGCCACAUUGGGACUGAGACACGGCCCAAACUCCUACGGGAGGCAGCAGUGGGGAAUCUUGCGCAAUGGGCGAAAGCCUGACGCAGCCAUGCCGCGUGAGUGAUGAAGGUCUUAGGAUUGUAAAAUUCUUUCACCGGGGACGAUAAUGACGGUACCCGGAGAAGAAGCCCCGGCUAACUUCGUG
rnacentral:rRNA from 1 species